rnacentral:rRNA from 1 species
UACGGCGGGUGCAAGCGUUAAUCGGAAUUACUGGGCGUAAAGCGUGCGCAGGCGGUUUGUUAAGUCCGUUGUGAAAGCCCCGAGCUCAACUUGGGAAUUGCAGUGGAUACUGGCAGGCUGGAGUACGGUAGAGGAAGGUGGAAUUCCCGGUGUAGCAGUGAAAUGCGUAGAUAUCGGGAGGAACACCAGUGGCGAAGGCGGCCUUCUGGACCAGUACUGACGCUCAUGCACGAAAGCGUGGGGAGCAAACAGG